rnacentral:rRNA from 1 species
GAUGAACGCUGGCGGCGUGCCUAAUACAUGCAAGUCGAGCGAACGGACGAGAAGCUUGCUUCUCUGAUGUUAGCGGCGGACGGGUGAGUAACACGUGGAUAACCUACCUAUAAGACUGGGAUAACUUCGGGAAACCGGAGCUAAUACCGGAUAAUAUUUUGAACCGCAUGGUUCAAAAGUGAAAGACGGUCUUGCUGUCACUUAUAGAUGGAUCCGCGCUGCAUUAGCUAGUUGGUAAGGUAACGGCUUACCAAGGCAACGAUGCAUAGCCGACGUGAGAGGGGGAUUGGCCACACUGGAACGGAGACACGGUCCAGACUCCUACGGGAGGCAGCAGUAGGGAAUCUUCCGCAAUGGGCGAAAGCCUGACGGAGCAGCGGCGCGUGAGUGAUGACGGUCUUCGGAUCGUAAAAAUCUGUUAUUAGGGAAGAACAUAUGUGUAAGUAACUGUGCACAUCUUGACGGUACCUAAUCAGAAAGCCACGGCUAACUACGUG